rnacentral:misc_RNA from 1 species
AAAUUUUUUCAAAGAAAUAAAACUAGGUGUCGAGCAAUCUUUCCCCAGAAACCAGGAAUUAUCCACAUUUCGCCGCCUCAGCAUUGAUUCUUCUGUUCAAGAAUUCAUUUCUACCAACCCGUAUGGUGAUGGCAUUCGUUCAUUCCUCUGUUUCUCCUCUCGGAACAUUGCGAUGUCCCCAUAUGAGUUAGAGACAAUCCCA